rnacentral:rRNA from 1 species
GAUGAACGCUGGCGGCGUGCCUAAUACAUGCGAGUCGAGCGAACGGACGAGAAGCUUGCUUCUCUGAUGUUAGCGGCGGACGGGUGAGUAACACGUGGAUAACCUACCUAUAAGACUGGGAUAACUUCGGGAAACCGUAGCUAAUACCGGAUAAUAUUUUGAACCGCAUGGUUCAAAAGUGAAAGACGGUCUUGCUGUCACUUAUAGAUGGAUCCGCGCUGCAUUAGCUAGUUGGUAAGGUAACGGCUUACCAAGGCAACGAUGCAUAGCCGACCUGAGAGGGUGAUCGGCCACACUGGAACUGAGACACGGUCCAGACUCCUACGGGAGGCAGCAGUAGGGAAUCUUCCGCAAUGGGCGAAAGCCUGACGGAGCAACGCCGCGUGAGUGAUGAAGGUCUUCGGAUCGUAAAACUCUGUUAUUAGGGAAGAACAUAUGUGUAAGUAACUGUGCACAUCUUGACGGUACCCAAUCAGAAAGCCACGGCUAACUACGUG